rnacentral:rRNA from 1 species
GUGUGCAGCCAUAUCACCCUGCAGCCCAAGACUGGUUGCCCACUGAAGCUAAGCAGGGUUGAGCUGGUCAGUACCUGGAUGAGAGACCUCCUGGGAAAACUAGGUUGCUGCUGGAA